rnacentral:rRNA from 1 species
GAUGAACGCUGGCGGCGUGCCUAAUACAUGCAAGUCGAGCGAAGCGGGGACGGGUGAGUAACACGUGGAUAACCUCCUAUAUGACUGGGAUAACUUCGGGAAACCGGAGCUAAACCGGCUGAUUAUCGAUGGAUCCGCGCUGCAUUAGCUAGUUGGUAGGGUAACGGCUUACCAAGGCAACGAUGCAUAGCCGACCUGAGAGGGUGAUCAGCCACACUGGAACUGAGACACGGUCCAGACUCCUACGGGAGGCAGCAGUAGGGAAUCUUGCGCAAUGGGCGAAAGCCUGACGCAGCAACGCCGCGUGAGUGAUGAAGGUCUUCGGAUCGUAAAACUCUGUUAUUAGGGAAGCGGUACCUAAACAGAAAGCCACGGCUAACUACGUGCCAGCAGCCGCGGUAAUUC